AGGAUGAACGCUGGCGGCGUGCCUAAGACAUGCAAGUCGAGUGGGUUUAGGCCCACGGCGAACGGGUGAGUAAUACCUAGGAACUUUCUUUAAGUGGAGCAUAACCCAUAGAAAUGUGGGAUAAUACUUCAUGUGGCAGUAAUGCUAAAGUCGCAAGACGCUUAAAGUGAGGCCUGGGCACCAUCAGCUAGUUGGUAAGGUAAUGGCUUACCAAGGCUAUGACGGUUAGGGGUCCCGAGAGGGAUAACCCCCACACUGGAACUGCGACACGGUCCAGACUCCUACGGGAGGCAGCAGUUUGGAAUUUUGGACAAUGGGCGAAAGCCUGAUCCAGCGACGCCGCGUGGACGAUGAAGGCCUUCGGGUCGUAAAGUCCUUUUGCUCGGGAACAUAAUUUGAGCGUACCGAGAGAAUAAGAGGUUGCUAACUCUGUGCCAGCAGCCGC
rnacentral:rRNA from 1 species